rnacentral:rRNA from 1 species
AGCAUGUGGUUUAAUUGGAAGCAACGCGAAGAACCUUACCAGGUCUUGACAUCCUCUGNAAACCCUAGAGAUAGGGCUUCUCCUUCGGGAGCAGAGUGACAGGUGGUGCAUGGUUGUCGUCAGCUCGUGUCGUGAGAUGUUGGGUUAAGUCCCGCAACGAGCGCAACCCUUGAUCUUAGUUGCCAUCAUUAAGUUGGGCACUCUAAGGUGACUGCCGGUGACAAACCGGAGGAAGGUGGGGAUGACGUCAAAUCAUCAUGCCCCUUAUGACCUGGGCUACACACGUGCUACAAUGGACGGUACAAAGAGCUGCAAGACCGCGAGGUGGAGCUAAUCUCAUAAAACCGUUCUCAGUUCGGAUUGUAGGCUGCAACUCGCCUACAUGAAGCUGGAAUCGCUAGUAAUCGCGGAUCAGCAUGCCGCGGUGAAUACGUUCCCGGGCCUUGUACACACCGCCCGUCACACCACGAGAGUUUGUAACACCCGAAGUCGGUGGGG